GGGUGUGAUCAUACCAGCGUUAAUGCACCAGAUCCCAUCAGAACUCCGCAAUUAAGCGGGCUUGGGCUAGAGUAGGACUCAGAUGGGUGACCUCCUGGGAAGUCCUAGUGUUGCACCCU
rnacentral:rRNA from 1 species